rnacentral:rRNA from 1 species
UACAGAGGUCUCAAGCGUUGUUCGGAUUCAUUGGGCGUAAAGGGUGCGUAGGCGGCGCGGUAAGUCGGAUGUGAAAUCUCGGAGCUUAACUUCGAAACUGCAUUCGAUACUGCCGUGCUUGAGGACUGGAGAGGAGACUGGAAUUUACGGUGUAGCGGUGAAAUGCGUAGAUAUCGUAAGGAAGACCAGUGGCGAAGGCGGGUCUCUAGUACGGUACUGACGCUGAGACGCGAAAGCGUGGGGAGCGAACAGG